rnacentral:lncRNA from 1 species
AUAUUAUGAUGUUCCCCAACUUUUGGACUCAAUCCGAUAUCGAUUGGACCUUGAAAUCGGACAAUUCAGGUUCCUACGAAGUUCGUUCUGAAAUGGGGUGGUUGGUGUAUUGUAUAGUUCUAGAGAUUGGAUUUCACUCAAAACCCACCAAAUGACUCCUCCCACAAUAUUAUGAUGUUCCCCAAGUUUUGGACUCAAUCCGAUAUCGAUUGGUCCUUCAAAUCGGACAAUUCAGGUUCGUACGAAGUUCAUUCUGAAAUGGGUUGGUUGGUGUAUUUCAUAGUUCUAGAGAUUGGAUUUCACACAAAACCCACCAAAUGACUCCUCCCAAAAUAUUAUGAUGUUCCCCAAGUUUUGGACUCAAUCCGUUACCGAUUAGUCAAUGUAAUCGGACAAUUCAGGUUCGUACGAAUUUCGUUCUGAAAUGGGGUGGUUGGUGUAUUGUAUAGUUCUAAAGAUUGGAUUUCACUCAAAACCCACCAAAUUACUCCUCCCACAAUAUUAUGAUGUUCCCCACGUUUUGGACUCAAUCCGUUAUCGAUUGGUCAAAGAAAUCGGACAAUUCAAGUUAGUACGAAGUUCGUUCUGAAAUGGGGAGGUUGGUGUAUUGUAUAGUUCUAGAGAUUGGAUUUCACUCAAAGCCCACCAAAUGACUCCUCCCACAAUGUUAUGAUGUUCCCCAAGUUUUGGACUCAAUCCGAUAUCGGUCGGUCCACGAAAUUUGACAAUUCAGGUUCGUAAGAAGUUCGUUCUGAAAUGCGGUGGUUGGUGUAUUUUAUAGUUCUAAAGAUUGGAUUUCACUCAAGACCCACCAAAUGACUCCUCCCACAAUAUUAUGAUGUUCCCCAAGUUUUGGACUCAAUCCGAUAUCGAUUAGACCUUGAAAUCGGACAAUUCAGGUUCCUACGAAGUUCGUUCUGAAAUGGGGUGGUUGGUGUAUUGUAUAGUUCUAGAAUUGGAUUUCACUCAAUACCCACCAAAUGACUCCUCCCAAAAAUAUUAUGAUGUUCCCCAAGUUUGGACUCAAUCCGUUACCGAUUGGUCAAUAAAAUCGGACAAUUCAGGUUCGUACGAAGUUCGUUCUGAAAUGGGGUGGUUGGUGUAUUGUAUGGUUCUAAAAUUGGAUUUCACUCAAUACCCACCAAAUGACUCCUCCCACAAUAUUAUGAUGUUCCCCAAGUCUUGGACUCAAUCCGAUAUCGAUUGGACCUUGAAAUCGGACAAUUCAGUUCCUACGAAGUUCGUUUCUGAAAUGGGGUGGUUGGUUGUAUUGUAUAGUUCUAGAGAUUGAUUUCACUCAAAACCCACCAAAUGACCUCCUCCCAAAUAUUAAUGAUGUUCCCCAGUUUUGACUCAUCCGAUAUCGAUUGGUCCUUCAAAUCGGACAAUUCAGGUUCGUACGAAGUUCGUUCUGAAAUGGGUUGGUUGGUGUAUUG